GGGUGCUUAUAAAUAGACAACUAUGGUUCUUAGUCGGAUGACACAUUGUAAAUCUCUGAAUCAGUAUAAUAAAAUCUCUCCGGUUCCUGCCCGUGGACGUAGGUUGACACACCGUCACCGAACCACGUAAAACCUCUGUGUUCUUUAUUUGCUUUCUUUCUCGUUUUCUCAUAACAAAAACUAUAGUGGGGACAAAAUUAAUUUGCUACAUAUUACAAAAUUUGGUAGGAAAUAUGUUAGUUGGAGUGAUUUGCAGAGAAUAAAAGGGUGAGCUUUGAAUUGGAACUGAAAUAAUAAUUCUUUUUUUGUAAUGGUAAAAAAAUCGAUCAAAACCCCAUGAACAAAUACAAUCCACUUUUCUUUUUUUUUUUUUUUUUUCUUCUUUCCCUCGAUCGAUUGAAUCAACUGAUGAGCCAAACUACAAACUACUGAUAAUAUGAUAAAUUUUGGCAAUGAAUUGCGACGAACUGUGAUCCAGAUCUCGAUUCCAUUCCAUUCAGUGGCUAUAAAUUCAGGUCGAUCCCUCUAGCUCCCUCUGAAGAGGACGACCCUGACCCUGACCCUGACCCUGGCUGUUCUUGAUGGUGGUGGUACGGCAUCCUCCCUGAAGCCCUAUCCUUCCUCUUCUCAAGGAAUCUGUGGAUCGAUGAUCUUCUAGCGAUUGGCAUAUCUGGAACAUGCAGAAAUCGGUAACCGAUUGUUAGUUAUGAUGUAAGAGUACAAUUCUGAUGUCGUGUUUAAUACGCCGCAGGCGAGAGUGGAAUCGAUUGCCUUACCGGAGCUGUUGGCUUCGGAUUGAAGUGAAAAUUGUCCCUGUGCUGCUUCCGAGCUCCGCGCCGGAGCUCCACCGACGGUGGAAUUUGUGUUCUCAGCACCGAUGUUCGAUUUGAUGACCGCAGGCUGCUUGCCGCUGCUGGAGGCGUUCUCGUUGCAGGUGUUGGACGAAAUGUCAACCGCCUGUUUACAUUGAGGCCGCGGCGGGAGCCUAUGGUGGUUCGGCUUCUCCGGCACGGUGGUCACCAGAACGCCGCACGACAUUUGUGAGCUGGUUUGUUUGGCAAUUGAGACGAGCUCUCUCGCCUUCUCCAUCGGAUAAUCAUCGAACACCAACACCUUCCCCGAGUAUAAUAUUGUGAGCUGCGAGGCCUUCUCUUUACUGAAAUUAUUGGGGAAAACCGAAGGAAUUUCAGAUUCUGCUGCAGAUAAAAAGGUACGCACUGCACGGUUUUCUCAAUCAAUUGAUUCAGUGCGAUAAACAGGGACGAAAUAUAUGAUGAACCUUGAAUCAUUUUUGUUUGACGCGUCUGUUUCUUCUUCUUCUUCUACUACUAUAGCUUGUCCUGCUGCUGCUGGUGAGAUCUGUUGAGCGAAUUUAGCCUUUUUAUUCUUCUGCGAAUUCACGAUCGAGGAAGACGAAGAAGCGAGAGACGAUCCAGAUCCCGGUUUCACUGAAAUCAAGCCAAAGCACACACGGUUUCAUCCAUGAACCCUAAAAGUAGUGUGAAAUCAGAAUUGAACAACUGGUUCCUUACCAAUCGCUUCAAGGCUCUCCACUCUUCCACCGAUUUCAAUAUUCAAAUCUUUGAGACUGCCUUUUUCCUUCACAUACCGACUCAGAAGAUUGCAAGUCUGCGCAAAAUUCGACCAUCUCUCAGGCGCUUCAGAGCUCGACAUCGAUCCCUGUAAGUAUAUCCUAUCCUCCUCUCUUAUCUUUCUGCAAAUUGGAACUUAGCUCGAACAGAUUUCACAGUACCAAAAACCAAUCUCAUAUCAUUUCAUCAUAUAAAGAAACGGUGGGGAUUGAAGAUUGAUGAAUUGCAAAAGGGUGGUUAGAGUUUUUUUUUUUUCCAUGUUCUCCAAAAAAAAAGGUUCUUUAAUGGAGGUAAUAAGCACGUGAAAAUUGCCCUCGCAGGGAAAGGAGACAAAGCCCGCACAGCAAUUAAUUAAUUUAAUUAAUUGGUAGGUGGGGAUCAUUGACAUUGACAGGCAGACUGAGUGGGCAGCCAUGGUUUGCCUUGCUUGCUCUGCUGCUGUGCAUACCAUUACCAUCCAUUUCAACUCAUCAAUGGCCUGGAUUGGAUCCAUCUCUGCCAUAUGCCAUAUGGAUGGUGAUGAAAGAUCCUCCUGCCAACAUAUUAUAUCGGUUCUAGUAUUUUCUUAAUUUAUUGCAGUCUUUUACUACUUGUUUGAAUAAUGAUAAUAGUAAUUAAUUCAUUAUUGUCAUCUCACUCACUCACUGUUGUUUCUUCCACAGAAUUCUCCCAGUCCUGAACCUGCUAUGGUAUCCGUCGCUUUCAGGCAAAUUGAAUGUGAGGAAUUAUUAAAGAUCUUCCUUCCACGUGAAAAAUUCAUUUUUGUAGUGGUGGAUGGAUGGGUCAUUGUCCCAACAAUCCUCGCAAGGGAUGGGGAGGGCAGUAUUGGUAUGUAUGUCUUAUACUUAGGGUACCCCACACCACCCCAACCCUCCAAUGCACGUGCUUAGAAUGGUUUGGAUUACAUUAUAAUACAGUAUGUUUUAUUACUAUUAGCCUAGGCCUAAAUAUCAUGCAUGAUCAAUGUGUAUUUGUAUGUAUAUUAUGAAUUAAAUAACAAGUUUGUAAUUGAAAAGGGCAGAUUUGGAUCUGACUUCUUUGUAAUUCAAACAUAAUAAAAGGUAAAAAAUUAAUAAAU